AUUUGAGAUUGUUGUUUACCUCAGUAAUGUGCCAACACAGUUUGACAAUGCUGAUAACAGAGAAAAUAUGAAAAUAAUAGACAUUUAAAUGGUGAAAUUCAAUAAUUAGUUUUUUCUUUUCAAUUAAUUUAAUUAUAUGGGAAUUAAUAUUAAUGAAGAUGUUGUGUUAGUUCGACUUCAAGGGUUAAUAAAAAUAUAUAUAAUGGUACACAUACAUAUAAUUUUUAGUAUCCACAUAAAUAAAUACAUGCGUAUUUAUAUUACAUUCUGCAUUUGCUCUUGUUCGAUGGCUAUAUAUGUAAAUAUGUCACAAUAAAUAAACUAUCGGUGAUGUCGUUAUAUGUGGUUUUUUAAGUUUAUUUUUCUUUUCUUCCACAGCGCACAAUAGUCUUCAAGUCGCACAUAACAGUUGCACUUUUGUUUCUAUGUACUUUUAUACUUCCUGUUAUUUACUUCUACAUAACCUGCCCCUUCUCUAACACUCUUUCCAUAUACGUAUUUAUAUAUUUAUAUUCGAUCACCUAAAUCUCAUUGCUACUUUAUUUCAUACGCUUUCAUCUACUUCUCUUUUUUUACAUAUUCACCAAAUGCAAUGUAAGUUUUUUUCUAUUUUCUACAUCCAACUGCUGCACAUUCGAAAGUGUUUUUUCCAUACUCUACAUAUGUUUUGCACAUAAAUAUUUAAUGGUAUAUUAUUAUUUACUUGUUCUAUUAACGAUAUUUCAUAUUUUUUAACACAAAUACACAAGUUAAAUGUUAAAAAACUGGCUAAAACCGAUGACGAAACAAAGAACUACUAUUUUUUCUUCUGCUCACCACUAUUCCUUCUGCAUACCGAACCGAACUUUUCCUUUGGUAUGUAUGUCGCAUAGGGUUGCAUGCUAGUUGGAAAAAACGUACUUUAGUAGUAUUACAAUUGGAUAUUUCGACACUGUGAAUUAAUUAAAAAUAUAUGUUAAUUUUUAUUAUAUAGUAUUUGUUUGUAUCCAAUGUAGCAUGUGCAGCAGUUCAUUAUUACACAUAACAUUUGUUUUUUAAGUGCAAUUGAAUACCAGUUAUGCUUAAAACUGUACUAUAGUAUAUACUGUUUUGGAGCAGUUUCAAAAGUAUAUUUGCGUUUAAUUAAAUAUAUAUAACAACUUACUAAUAAUAAACAUCUAACAAAUCGACGACAUUUGUCUACUUAACCAAAUCUUAUAAACAAAAAUGCUGGAAAUAGUAUCUGCAAUUUGUGCAUAUAAAUAAAUGACACACAUACCAAUAUGAGCAGGUAAUAAAACGCGAUAAAGAAGUGAACAAAACAAUAAAUUGCGAUGUAAUAUAAAACGAAGGAAAGUGUUAGAGUAACAGCUGUUGGCUGUCAGGUUAUCUUAUGGUUUGUUGUUAUUGUCUAUCCGUUAUUAUUGAUGUCAAACAACUGCAUUUACGUGGUUUAAAUUUAUGUAUGCAUGUAUGUCAAGGUAAAUAUUAUUGGCAUUUUUUAUUAAUUGUAAGCAUAAACCGACAACGGCUUAGCAUAAUAGACUAUACAUUGCGUGAACAUAAAAUAAUUCCCAAUUGGCCGUACUUACUUAGAUGUUCAAAUUUAUUAAAUACUCCAAACUUAAAUUUUUUUUAAUUAUUUGUAUUUAUUUACGCCUCUGCUCUGCCACGAAAACACGAAAUUAGAAAUUUCGUUAAUAUAUUUUUUUGUUUGUUAUUUUAAUGUAACAAAAAUGACAAUAAUUAUACUUAAGCGGUUAAAUUUACGUACAGUUGUUUUAGUUAUCAUACAUUUACAUACAAUUCAUUAUAUAUAUUUUUAUAAUAUUUAAUAUAUAUGAGUUUUUAUACAAUAUUAUUUAUUGCAUGCCAACAAUAUCCAUACGUUAAGUUGUAAGUUGUUAAGUUCUUAGUUUUAUAUUCCAGUUUGUAUUUUCUUGUUUUCAGUCUCACACAUGCACCCAUUAUUGACUUUUUAGCUUAUAAUUUCAUUAUUUACUUAAGAUUAAUAUAUAUAUAUAUGUAUAUAUGUGUGUGUAUGUAUAUAUGUAGGUAUAUUUUGAUUUUAUUUUGUUCAACGAAUUACUUAUAUUACAUGCGCGUACUUCACUUCAAUAGUUUCUAAAUGUUUAAUUGCUAUUGCAGUACAUAACCAUUACACACGGUUAUUUGUAUGAUCUUGUUCUAAUAUAUGUAGGUAUGUUUAUUUUAGCGUACUACACUUAUUUAUAAAAAAAUAUAAACUUUGCAUGGUUCAAAUGCUUACACUGCACAAAUUUUACCUAUAUUUCCAUACCGAUUUCAACUACACGCCGCUGUUCUUAACAAUAUUCUCUUGAGUUGCACACGGUUGUUUAAACUUUUAUUUUAUAUAAAAAUACUUUGUUUGUAUGUGUAAAAUGAAAAAAAAAAACUGUAAAAAAACUACAAUUUUCAUUGCCUAUACAAAAUCAAGUGUUUCUUUUUAAUGCUGAUUGACAAAACAAGCCAUAAUCUGGCUACAUACUCAUAGACUCUUUCAAAUAAAAAAAAAUAUAUAUAUUUUUUAACUAUGACUUAGUGUACUGUUUUAGCAUACUAAUAUUUAUGUAAUUUUGUUUUAUAUGGAAAAAUAUAUAACUAUUAAGCAAUGUUAGACAGCCAACUUCGGUAUACACUAAUUUAAUUUUUACGAUAUUGCGCGCUUAAUGCUCACUAGAAAGUAGAAAGGUUGUGGGCGUUUGAAUUUUUAGUUAUUAAAUUAAUAAAUAUUUAGAUUUUUAUAACGAGUUCUACUUAAAAAUGAAAAUAAAAAAUACUUAGCAAAAUUUUUUAUAUGCUUUAUAUAACACGAGAUGUUAUUGUUGUCUAGUGUAUAUAAUGGGCAUUGCAGAAUUUUUUCAAUUUUCUAACUAAAUUGCUUGAAUUAUAUUCAAAACAAUUAAUAAACUCUUACGCAUCGUUUUAAAAGCCAAGUAUAGUAUGCCUUAUUUUUAGUGAAAUUCCAAGGAACAACGUAAAUAUACCGAAAUUGGACACUAUUGUGUACGCUUCCCAAACAACCAUUAUAUGCGCUUAUUAAGGGAAAAGUAAUGAAAAUAAGUAGAAAUAAAUUAUGUUCAAUAUUAUGU